rnacentral:rRNA from 1 species
UACAGAGGGGGCAAGCGUUAUUCGGAAUUAUUGGGCGUAAAGGGCGCGUAGGCGGCUUUGCAAGUGACGGGUGAAAUCCCUCGGCUUAACCGAGGAACUGCCUGUCAGACUGUAAGGCUUGAGACCGGGAGAGGUGAGUGGAAUUCCCAGUGUAGCGGUGAAAUGCGUAGAUAUUGGGAGGAACACCAGUGGCGAAGGCGGCUCACUGGACCGGUUCUGACGCUGAGGCGCGAAAGCGUGGGGAGCAAACAGG